rnacentral:RNase_P_RNA from 2 species
UGAGUAAGCCGGAUGAUCGCGGGUGUUAGUGCAUGCAGAUGCUACGCAUCGGAGUGCAUAGCACGCGAGGAAAGUCCGGGCUCCAUAGGGCAGGGUGCCGGGUAAUACCCGGUGGAGGCAACUCCAAGGAUAGUGCAACAGAGAGAUACCGCUAACCUUCGUAAGAAGGCAGUAAGGGUGGAAAGGCGAGGUAAGAGCUCACCAGCGUUUGGGUAACUAAACGGCUAUGUAAACCCCAUCCGGAGCAAGACCAAAUAGAGAAGAAGCUUCCUAGAGAAGCAGGGAACUGCCCGUUCCUCUUCCGGGUAAGGUCGCUUGAGCGUUACGGUAACGUCGCGCCUAGAUAGAUGAUCAUCCAAGACAGAACCCGGCUUAUAGGCUUACUUAUUAA